UGAGGAAUAUUGGUCAAUGGGCGCAGGCCUGAACCAGCCAAGUCGCGUGAGGGAGGACGGUCCUACGGAUUGUAAACCUCUUUUGUCGGGGAGUAACGUGCGGGACGGGUCCCGUAUUGAGAGUACCCGAAGAAAAAGCAUCGGCUAACUCCGUGCCAGCAGCCGCGGUAAAACGUAGGGUGCAAGCGUUGUCCGGAAUUACUGGGUGUAAAGGGAGCGCAGGCGGGCAUGCAAGUUGGAAGUGAAAACUAUGGGCUCAACCCAUAGCCUGCUUUCAAAACUGCGUGUCUUGAGUAGUGCAGAGGUAGGCGGAAUUCCCGGUGUAGCGGUGGAAUGCGUAGAUAUCGGGAGGAACACCAGUGGCGAAGGCGGCCUACUGGGCACCAACUGACGCUGAGGCUCGAAAGCAUGGGGUAGCAAACAGGAUUAGAUACCCUGGUAGU
rnacentral:rRNA from 1 species